GAAGUAAAAGUCGUAACAAGGUCUCCGUUGGUGAACCAGCGGAGGGAUCAUUACCGAGUUUACAACUCCCAAACCCCUGUGAACAUACCACUUGUUGCCUCGGCGGAUCAGCCCGCUCCCGGUAAAACGGGACGGCCCGCCAGAGGACCCCUAAACUCUGUUUCUAUAUGUAACUUCUGAGUAAAACCAUAAAUAAAUCAAAACUUUCAACAACGGAUCUCUUGGUUCUGGCAUCGAUGAAGAACGCAGCAAAAUGCGAUAAGUAAUGUGAAUUGCAGAAUUCAGUGAAUCAUCGAAUCUUUGAACGCACAUUGCGCCCGCCAGUAUUCUGGCGGGCAUGCCUGUUCGAGCGUCAUUUCAACCCUCAAGCACAGCUUGGUGUUGGGACUCGCGUUAAUUCGCGUUCCUCAAAUUGAUUGGCGGUCACGUCGAGCUUCCAUAGCGUAGUAGUAAAACCCUCGUUACUGGUAAUCGUCGCGGCCACGCCGUUAAACCCCAACUUCUGAAUGUUGACCUCGGAUCAGGUAGGAAUACCCGCUGAACUUAAGCAUAUCAA
rnacentral:rRNA from 1 species